UACAGAGGGGGCUAGCGUUGUUCGGAAUUACUGGGUGUAAAGGGCGCGUAGGUGGCCUGUUAAGUCGAACGUGAAAUCCCCGGGCUCAACCCGGGAACUGCGUCCGAGACUGGCAGGCUCGAAUCCGGGAGAGGGAUGUGGAAUUCCAGGUGUAGCGGUGAAAUGCGUAGAUAUCUGGAGGAACACCGGUGGCGAAGGCGGCAUCCUGGACCGGUAUUGACGCUGAUGCGCGAAAGCCAGGGGGAGCAAACGGGG
rnacentral:rRNA from 1 species